GGGAAACAGGAAGAGGGGCCAGCCUCAGGCCCCGCUCCAAACGGGGGCA
rfam:Homo sapiens chromosome 17, GRCh38 reference primary assembly.